CGUUUAUUUGAAACAGCUUUGUUGUGUAUCUGGUGUCAGAGGCUGCAGAGACGUGUCCCGCAACUAUAUCCAUUAAACCACCGAUGCAGCUGUUCAUGCAUGUGUGAAGUCUUAAACGUUUACAUGUCUCGGCUCUAUGGUAAUAAAUUAAUUACUUGGUGUGUCUUAAUUUGUCUUAAUUUCCUAUGCUUAUCUGGUUGCAUAAUUGAUUUCUGUCGUUGCGUCCACUUCCAAGAUUUAUAGCAUAGGGCCUACCCUGUUAAAAAAAAAAAACCAUGGAUACUGUUUCUUGUAACUACUGACAAAGAUCUACUAGAUCACAGUCAUAUAAACUUUCAUAAUGUAAUAUAAUGCAUUUAUUAAUAAAACCAAGAAUGAUUGUCAUGAGAAAUGACUUCGCCCUAUAAAACGUCACCACUGCAUUAAUAAAAUGCAGUGCAUGUCUCUCCUUGAAGCAAUCGUGUAGGUUAAAAAGAAAUGCAUAAUACAUUUAUUUAGACCUAGGCUAUGUUUAGCCUAUAUUUCGAUCAUUUUACCUCAGUACUGAUAAGGUGCAAAGCCAACAUGACAUUAACAGAAGGCCCGCUGCAGGAGGGCACACCAAACAUGAAAACUCGUACAUUUGUGCAUAGACUAUUUAGAUGUUUUGUAAACACGUUAAAUUAGUCACGUAAUUCAAAUAGCAACAACAUGUCUUUAUAACAUCAUUCUGGGAACAUAUAAACUUAACACCCACAGUGGUGAUGUGGACACAAAGAACACUGGUCGUAUAAUGACAGCUUUACGACUAAAUAAUACAAAAUCUUUUUUCUCUUGUAAUCUACACUCUUAAUAGACUUAGCCUAGACUGCAAAUGUUAAACAUAUCCUACAUUUUAAAGUAAAUCUUUGCGGUCCGUUUCUCUGAUAUAAAUAUUAGAAUUUUCUUUUUUUGAAGGAGAUUAUAAAUUAUCUUCCACAAUAUUUGCAUACGUUUAUUAUUAUUAUUAUUAUUAGCCUAUGUGUAAGCAUUUUUAAGCCAUUUUUAUUUAAUUCGGUAGUUAUGCGGUUACAUUAAUAGCUGUAUAGCCUAAUAUAAAUUCAACAUCUGAUGGAAAAAAAGUGUAGUUAUUUCACUGUAAUGCGGAUAAAUCUAUACAUUUACUUUUCCUGUGAGCUCCACUUAGAAAAUGGCGCCUGGCUGCAAACAUUGCUUUACCAGCCCCAGCCCCAGCCCCAGCCCCCACCUCUGUCCUCUUCCCUAGAGAAGCUAUAAAUCUGUUGUUGUUUAUGAAAAUUUACUACUUUGUCGUACAACUUUAUGAGCUGCAGCUAGCUCCUAUUGGCUACCAGUCGGUCACGUGUUUUAAGGCCACAUGAACGUUAACUUUUUAUGUAUGUGCAUCCCUACCCAAAAUAGAGCUGCAUUCUUCUCCUGACCUUGCCUUGUCUAGCCUUCUUUUACCCCCGCUUUUCCAGAUUUCGUCUAUUGUUAAUUUUUUGUCUUUUACUUUUGAGGUAGGCUACUAUUCUACAUUCGCUGCCAUCGAACUGGGUAUUGCAUUGGCAGUAGGAGAACUGAUCAUAAUGAGAGAACUGAUCAUCUUGUUUGGCACAAGCUUUCCGAAAAGCUGUGAAGUAUUUUUCGUCACCAUCCUCUGUUUCUUGCCUUCGUGGACCAGCAGGCACACUGAACGACAGUUUGACCGGACCGGAGGGGAAAAGGCCCAGAACAGCCUACACACGCUACCAGACACUUGAGCUUGAGAAGGAGUUCCACUUCAACCGGUACCUGACACGUCGCCGACGUAUUGAGAUUGC